rnacentral:rRNA from 1 species
UACGGAGGGGGCUAGCGUUGUUCGGAAUUACUGGGCGUAAAGCGCACGUAGGCGGCCGUUCAAGUCAGAGGUGAAAGCACGGGGCUCAACCACGGAAUAGCCUUUGAAACUAGAUGGCUUGAAUCUUGGAGAGGUCAGUGGAAUUCCGAGUGUAGAGGUGAAAUUCGUAGAUAUUCGGAAGAACACCAGUGGCGAAGGCGACUGACUGGACAAGUAUUGACGCUGAGGUGCGAAAGCGUGGGGAGCAAACAGG